rnacentral:rRNA from 1 species
UCAGACGAUGCGUCAUGCAUAUCAAUAAGCGGAGGAAAAGAAACUAACAAGGAUUCCCCUAGUAACGGCGAGUGAAGCGGGAAGGAGCUCAAAUUUGAAAUCUUAAAGGGUUUCCCUUUACGAAUUGUAGUUUAAAGAAGUGUUUUCUGUUGAGGUUUUGGUAAAAGUUCUUUGGAAUAGGACAUCAUAGAGGGUGAGAAUCCCGUAUUUGACCUUUACUUUCAACUUUGUGAUACACUUUCAAAGAGUCGGAUUGUUUGGGAAUGCAGUCCAAAAUGGGUGGUAAAUUUCAUCUAAAGCUAAAUAUUGGCGAGAGACCGAUAGCGAACAAGUACCGUGAGGGAAAGAUGAAAAGAACUUUGAAAAGAGAGUUAAACAGUACGUGAAAUUGUCAAAAGGGAAGCGUUUGACACCAGUGUUGUUUUUCUGAAAAUCAAUUAAAGAACUGUUUAUGCUAAGCUGUUUAGACUUUAUCAGCUAACUGUUUAGUUUUGAGCUUUUCUUUAAUGCACUUUUCAGUUAACAAGUCAACAUCAAUUUCUUUUGCUGUAAAAAAGCUUGAGGAAGGUGGCUUGAGAUUCGUCUUAAGUGUUUAUAGCCUCUUGCCUAUGCAGUCGGAGAGAUUGAGGUCUGCAGCGUAGAUCCUUCGGGGCUAAAUGCAUUUGUGCUAAGUUAUAGCAUUUUAUAGACAACUUGUUGACUAUGAUUUGUCUUGUAGCUUACUCGCUUAUGUUAUUUUACCUACGCUUAGGAUGUUGAAUCUGUGCGAGACUAC